rnacentral:lncRNA from 1 species
AAAAAAAAAACAGAACUGAAUGCCAGACAGCUUCAGCUGUUACAAAUGGAAAUUUACUUUGCCCAUCUGAAACAUUUUCACAUGUUUCAGUUCCUUCUUUUCAUCAGAUUCACACAAAGCAGUUGACUCUUCAUGGAAGGGAGAUUUAUAAUGGAUUCAAGCUUAAUAAUGUCAAAGCACAGCAGUUAAGAGGAGGGGGUAAACCUGAUGAAAAUGAAUGAAAAUGAUAUCUUAUAAAAUCAUACAGUCUGUGACUUCCAUAAAAGCCUGAAUGAAAGCAGUAAGAAAGCUCCCAGGAACCUGCAGUCUUCUCCAUCUACUGCAAAACUCCAUCUGGUAUCAACUUUUCAAGAGGCUCAGCCUCAGCAACUUCGUAUUUAUAGAGCAUUGUCAGCUGUGAUGACAGUGAUCCACCCUGCAGUCACAUGUGAGUCAAGAUUUUAUUUUUUUUAAAGAAUAGUAAUUAUGAAUGUUUCUUUGGAUGCUUUAAUUUAGUAUUUUUUCUUACAGCCCUGGCUCUCAAAAGUUAACUGUUCACCCUCUGGUAGACAGACCUGUUUAGGGCUUCACAAAAUCAAAAAGUAUAAUUUUAUCUGUCAUUGUGGAAGACCUUGAUUUAUUCCAUAACUGUGUUGCAAAAGGAGCAAUAGCUAUAAUCAUUAUAAUAAUGCCAUUGAUUCAAAUAUAAGUAAACACUGAAUUAUUUAUUUAUCUAUAUAUGGGAUGGAGAGAUCUGGGAAAAUUUAUGCUGACAAAAUAAGCAUGUGAUGAGAAAUUAAUCUAAAUAGGGGAGUGUUUAAAAGUAAUUCCAGCAGCUUCUUCUUAAAGUCUGGUUAAAGUCUGUGUUGAGAAUGUAUGUGUGAGUCAAAUCUUCUAAUUCCUCAUAGGCAAGCAAUACACUUUUUUGGCAACCAAGGAACACAAACCUUAUAAGUUUACUAACAGAAAUGUACCAUGGUAUCCAGCACUAGUAGCAUACUGCAUUAAACAAAGAUGGUCUCGUGGACAUAACUAUUGACAAAACCCUAAGAACUCACUCACUGUUAGUUGUUUUUCUUUCUCUUAAAAUAAGUUACUGGAGUUCUUAAAGAUCUCUAUUCCACUUCUAUUCUGAAAAUUCUUAUUCUUCCAGGUUUGUCCUGGUUCCCCCUGCCCAACUUAUCUAUAUCAUCCUCCCAUGCAAUUUUAUGAAUCUUGAAAUGAAGAAUGGUCCACUGAAGAAUUAAAUUAGUUAAGGAUAGAAUUACUUAAUUAUUUCAGAACUUGGAUAUAAAGGUAUGAAUAUACUUAGCAAAAUUAUUCUGUGCUAUACACUGCAUAGGCAAGGAACUUGAUCUAAGGCAGUAUUUGUCAAAUAUGGCAUAGGUAGUCGUCACCAAGUAUUCUUAACCUUUGAAACUUGUGUUUGUGUUGGAAGGAAACAUAAUGAUGUAUCUAUAUCUUUGAACAGAGAUCCUUUUGAUAAUUGUAAAUUAUUUGUGAUAAGAUUAUUUCCAGAUCUACUGUGUGAUAUUAAGUUGAGAACAAAAGUAUGAACUGCUGCUAAAGGCCAAGAACUUCAGAUUAUCUCAGUACUGUUUAACAAUUCACUACCUGGCCUUAAAACCAAGCUUUUCAAUGAUAAUUUUUUCAGAAACAUGAUGAUAUAAACUGCCAUUCAAGUAAAUUUUCCCCGUGGGAUAAACUGAUCAGAUUGUAUCAAAAUUCGAAACUUUUCUAUUGAAUUUUGUAGAAUUUAAGAAAUGAUUAUGCAUGAUAUUUCUGUAGGAUUACGUUGGCUCUCUUGAAUUUGUUGAACUUAUUAGAAGUUCAAGAGCCUUUCAGUCCCGUGGCAAAAAGCUGUGAUCUGUAGCCAUAACAAAUAUAAGAUGAAAGAAGCAAAAUUUCAUUUCUUUCCUUUAGAAAGAAACACAGAGUCAAGCAGAAUAUUACAAUAACAUGAGAUCAGACUUUGACACAGAAAAACCUCACAAAAAAAAAAAAAAACCCACUAUGGCUAUAAGUGAAAACCCUUAAAAAUCAUUAAAAGGGGUAAUAUUUAUUCCAGGGAAAAAUAUUUUUUCCUAUUAAAAACAGGAAAGUACCAGUUAACUACCAAAGCGUGGUAUUUGUUCUUUAGCAUGUCUUUCCCCCUCUGGAAAGAAUAAUGAUAGAAGAUUUAAGUGCAAAGUAGAUAUCACCCAUUAUAUGAAUGUCUGGAAAGUGAUCACUACAUUUUAAGUUAAUAAAUAAGAAAAUCAUUCUUAAAAUAUGAGUGGU